GCGCCUCCAGGUGUUUCCCUCCUUCCCGGCGCUUGCUGCGCGCUGCCGGCCCGCGCCCGCCCCCUGCCCCGGGCACCCGCGCUGGGGAGCGGCCCGUGGCCCCGCAACGCAACUGGCGGGUGGGCGCUAAGCGGGACCCGGCCGCUGCCUUCUCCGCAGGCAGCCGAGCUCCAGCUGCCACCUCCCCGGGCAGCUCUCGGCGCGCCGCGGGGGGGCGGAGGUGAAAGGCGAUUGCAAAGCGGCGGGCCUGGGCGGGGGGCUGGUGCGUUUCCCUGGCCUCAGAGCUCUGAUGGCUUCGGGAUGCAGGCUAAUAACGCCCGACAGACCGCCUGGCCCCUAGAAGAUGGGGUAGCCAAGCGAUGGGCUUCUGGAGUCGCGUCUCUUUUGAUAUAGCCCCCCCCCGCCGUCACCUCCGCCUUCACACACGUGGCCUCUCCAUUGUUCUGAAAUAUUUCUGAUUCCCAGGUUGGGCCGGGAAAUUGGUUUGAACGGAUCUUGCCCUGACUUGACUGAUUCUAGUACAAAGUACAAAGUUUAUCUCCAUGGAUAUUCUUGAACCGAGCAGCAGGAAAACUUUCUUCACCAGGACAGAUCCAGCCUCAGGCAUAAUCCUUGCGGGGGUGCGGAGGACGAUUCCCCCUUACAAAACACCUGGAUCCUGCUACGCUUAGGGACAAGUGAGGAGAAAACACCUGGAUCCAGAAACCAUCUCCCGAGAAGAAGUGUCCACCAUGUCAAGCGCAGACUGGAGGAAUGUCUUGGCUACAAUGCGACCUUCCAUCAGGAAAGUCUUGAACUCAUCCUCUGCAUCUUCUGGAAGUUUCAGUAAAUUUGGACAUUGCAUCCCAGUUUACAAAAUCAUAUUUGGCUAACAGGGCCUGCUGGUUAGCUAUAUGCAUCUGGAAAGAGAAGGUGGAAUGAAUCUUUCUCCCAAACAGAUCAAAUCUCUUGGGCUCUUUUUCUUUGGGGGCUGAUUUAAAUCUCCCUUGAUGUGACCUUUCCUUAGCAACAGUAACCACCAGGGAGUUAGGGGCAGGAUGGGAAUAAAAUAGGACAAGAAGCAAUGGACUUAAACCGCCCUUGCUGCAAUUUAGGUUGGACAUUAGGAAAAACUUCCUAACUGUGAGGAUGGUUAAGCACUGGAAUAAAUUGCCUAGAGAGGUUGUGGAAUCUCUGUCAUUGGAGAUUUUUAAGAGCAGGUUAGACAAACACCUGUCAGGGAUGGUCUAGAUAAUACUUAGUACUGCCAUGAGUGCAGGGGACUGAACUAGAUGACUUCUCGAGUUCCCUUCCAGUUCUAUGAUGCUAUCAUUCUAUGAAAAGCACUAAACUCUCUACUUUGGCACAUAACAUUUGUCUGUGCACUUAGCUGGAGGAGCUAAGGAGGCUGGCAUGUGCCUUAAAGUAGCACUGAAAAAGUGCCUCUGACAGCUCUAGAAGAGCAUAAUUAAUUGAGAAUUAAUUAUCCUGGGGUAACUGCCUGCAGACUGCCAAAUGUUUGUCAGUAUUCUCUCUAGCAAGCUCAACUUGUAUGCCUAACGCCACUACCAUUCUCCUCAGCAGGUCUUGAGAAGACAAAGUUCUCUAGGACUGGAGAAGACGACUCUGGUAUCAGUGAGUUGUCAAGCGAGGAGGAGGACACAUGAACUGGAGCUAUAGGAUCCUCCUGAUGGGGAACUAGCUCCUCCCACAACUGGCCCUUUUGAAGCAUUGGCUGCUCAAGAGGAACAGUAUCUCCAUGUGUUUCCAAUGUAAGAUGCUCUAAAAGCUGUUUUGCUGGCAGUCUGAUGACCUUCCAUUCAACUGAGUCUGUGAGUGGUGCCUGGGGGAAAUUGAGAAACAGUCCAGGGAUUCCAAAAAGGCCAUUGGGGAAGAGCAUAAGGCCUGGGCAGCCGGUAAGUACUAGGACACAAUGAUCUGUCUCUACCAUCUGGUUGGCUCCAGUCUUGGUACCAGUGCUCUCCCUCUGGAGGUGGCCUAGAGGAGUUGCUAGACCAUCUGUGCUUAAGAGGGGACAGUGAAGUACUGGAGAACUCUGAACAAGAUUGCAAAAAAUCAUCCAAACAGUCAGUGGGCAUCAGAGGUGCCAAGGCUGAUGGGGCCAUUGGGUGACCGAACUUAUCCAUAGCGCAUUGAACAGACACUGAGGUCAGUACAAAGUUGUUGGUACUACAGAGACAUUGAUGGUCAGUCGUCAUACAUCCAUGUUGGGAAAACCCUCAGUCGGUGCUGAAGAACAGCCCAUAGACAGGAUGCCUUCCAAUGAACGUCAUAAUACAGAAGCUGCAGGGGCCAAAAGAAGUAAUACAACUGAUACCGAGGCUGGGGACUCAGCUGAAGUUGGCAUGGUGUACACUGGUGCUGAGGGUGGUACUGGGGCCAAAUCGCUCCAGGUGGUACUGGGGCCAAAUUUCUUAGUCGGUUCUGGGCAUUGUUACCACUAACAGUCCCUGAGCAGAAGCCCAGGACUGCAACAGGCCUGGACCAGUGGGAGGCAUCAUCAGCAAAAUGGAGUCCUGCACCACAGGAGAGGACUGAAAGGCACAGCAAAUCCUUUGCUACCUCAAAAACUUGCAGGAUCGUAAGUACUGAUAAAGCUGGUGCAGAGAUAGUGUCCACUGGUACCAGACUCAAUGGCCAUCCUGCAGACAGUACUGGAGUUGACAGUACAGUACUGGUAUUUUUCAUCACAGUACAGGGGUAAUAUGGGUUGAUGACCCAGCUCUACCAUGAGUACCUGAAGAGUCCUGAUGCUGUUUCACAUCCCUUCUUGAAGAAGAAGAGUCCUUCUUCAGCUUUGAAUGGCUCUGGUCUGUUUUGUAGGUCCUUUUUCUAGGAGGUCCCAGAGAGGAAGAUUGACCCCUCUUUCUCUGUGGAGAACAGUCUGAAUCUGGGGUCUGUCAGACACAACAGGAGCCACUAUAACGUACUGAGCAUAGGAGACAGGGCACUUGCCAUAAGGUCCUGGGUCUGAGUUGGGCCUCAUUGCCUGCUCCACGAGGUACUACUUUGAGACGAAGCUCUCUGGUAAUCUGCGUUCUUUUCUGGACAGAAUGGUAGAUGCUGCAUUUCUCCUUGAUGUGCCCCUUGCUGAGGAACAAAAGGCAGGGAACCUCUGAGUCACUCUCAAAUGUAGGAGGGAAGGGAGGAUGCCAAAAGCUGUGAGCCUGUCUGCAGAAUCUGAGGGCCAAGUGACAGAGGCCCAGGGAUGACUUGCUGUUGGAGAUGCAGAAUGACUGCUCUGUCAGACUAGCACUAUGAAAUGAAGCUCAGGAACUGGCAAGUGGACCUAGAGCAAGCUGCAAAGCAAAGGGAGGACCUGGCAUUGAAGAAGCAAUCCAAAGAUGAAAGGGAUAUGAUGGUGGAGUAUCUUUGGUAUGACUGGGAGAUGAGGGAGUGAGACAUGACAUUUCAGAGGGACAUCUCAGAGAUGUUUAGGGAUCACGAGUCAGUUGGCCUCAAGUUCUGCUGCCUAAACCCCCAGACCACCUAUGCCCAGCCCUAUGGACAACUCUAGCUGGAGGGGUGGGGUGGGGGUAGGGAGGAAAUCAGUCAGUAAGCUAUGGGAACAUGCUCCAUCAGCAGUAUCUGCUGCACUGCAUCCCUAUUCCAAUAUGGGAAAAGGGACAGAUAUCCCAAUGACAUAUUACGCUGCCUAUCAACAUUUCAGUUUAUUUUGCUCUUUGAUGUUUAGAAUGUUUUGUACUGUGAUAUCUUUGCAGGUAAUUGUUGCUGGUUUCGAUUUGGCUGGUUCUGUUUUGCACACCUUUUCAAUACUGUAAUGGCAGUUGAGCUGCCCAAAUAUGUUUACCUUCUAUAAAGCUUUAUCUGGUCCCAUACUGAGGUCUGGAAUUACAAUGGCUAACAGUACACAACCAGAAAUGACAAGUCCACUACAUUUAUUUCAUACAAGACUACAUUUAAUUUCACCCUCCGGUGCAAGGUGUGGCAUUAAUCCCCGUUAGCUCCAUGGACAUACAAAGCACCCGGUAGCACCUUUGCUGUAAUGGACCCUCCAUCAGCACAAGGUGGAUGUCUGUAAGCAUCCCAUUGUCCCAAAAUAUUCCUCCUUAUCCCCACAUAUAUGGUAAAGCACAUCAUAAUCACAUGGCAUGAUACAUGCUACCGUCCAAACAAAUCUUAAGCAGCACCACCAUCCUGCUCUUGCUCAGUGUGUAGUUAUAUUGUCUUCUGCCAGGCUGGUAGAAAUCAGGAGAAGUCAUCACCACCUAUGGCAACAGAGGGUAGGCUGGAUUGUCUAAAAAUCACAGUUGGCAUGGACAACCACUUGAUGCCUGUCACGAGGAUGGAAUAAAACUUGCCUGCUGAAAUAGCUCAGACCUCUGAAAUACCCUGGCAUCAUGCACUCAUCAAAUGUAGGUGUCCACAGAUCUACCAUGGUGAACCACUAGGGUUGCAAAAUGGAAUAGCAAUAUCCUUUCCAGAUAAUGUACUCACUUCAAUUAAACUCCACAAUUAUUUUGGAGAUACUUCCUAAUUCAAUCUCUCUGGAUUGCAGUAAAGCAAUAAUUGCCUUACAAAUCUCCAUGACCACUGUGAUAACUUCGGAUUUGCCAACCCUGAACAGAUUAUCACAGAUGUGUAACAAUCUAGGGUUGCCAGUUUUCACAAGGUGAUAGCAACAUAUUUUUGGACAGUUACUCCCUUUCAACUGGAAGUUAUGGUGGCACUCAAGGAGUGAGCUUCUCACACUACUCCACGAACAUUACUUCCUUCAUAAAAAAAGUUUUGGGCCAACUGCUGGUCACCCCACAUUUCCAUUAUGAUAUAGCCCCACCACUCUACACUUGUGGUACUGGUCCAGAAGUGGCAGUCUGAAUAGGGAAGAGUCUGCCAUGAAAGACAGCAUCAGCUGGGUCCAUGCCUCCAUCUCUGUGUGGCACUGACCUUUUGUCUUGCUUCUAACUGCAAACCACCACUGUCUUCUUGGGGUAAAAAGCCACCUCUGAAACACGUGCCACCAUCUCAGUGGCUGAAGCAUACUAUAAGUAAGAUGGCCAUCAGCAGCAGCUGCUGGUUCUGUUCUGAGGGCAAGCAAGAUUCAUACUUUACAAUACACCUGCGUGUGUCCUGCCACAACAUGAAUUUCUCAGGUUUAUAGUUUCUGCCCACAAUCCCCAGUGGGCAGAAAAAGUGUUCCUCAGCACAAGGUUAUGAUACUAUGAACAAUGUAACGUGCACCCAGAAAUUUCUGAGUUUCUCAUGACUGGAUAUGUGGUAUGACAAUAAGUGUGAAGAACUCAACUGCUGUUCUGCAGCAGGGGUCACACUCUAAUGAGCUAGACAAAAGUGAGAUGACUAACUUGUGAUUGCCUAACUCUGUCUUCACUGCAGCAUGAAGUUGAGAGACACAAUGAGGUUUUAAUGCAAGUUGGCUGGUUGGUGCAGAUAGGGCUAACAAAUAAACUCGUUCUUUGAGAUAAAAGCACUAGAAAGCAUGACUAAUAAGGUUGUCCUGGUUCUACUGGCCAGUACAAGUGCAUUAGAAUUCCAUGUGGCUGUAAGAGAUUUUUAACAAGUGUGCACAAACACUGAUUUCUUUAAUAGAUGGGGCCUGUAAUGAAAGAUGUCAAUAUAGUUAAGAGCAUUUGCUUCUCUUAGUUAACAGUGCCUAAAAGCAGUAGCAGGGACAGGCCUGAGACUUGGUGAGUGGAAGAGACAUUUUAGUGCCUGGUAUAGAGAGAGCAGAAAAACUCCAACUGUCUCUUUUUGUCUGAAUACUGUAUGAUCUUUAAUGAGACAAGCCUAUUGCAACUUGGCUUAACAGACCUCAAAACAGGACUCAUGACUUCUCAACUCUGAGAUUGUCAACGCUCCUAAGGACUGGACUUUCAUGCUUAACAGAUGCAAGAAUAUUUCUUUAUUUUUGGAAGGCGGAUAAUGACACUUCUAAGGGCUACAUCCUUGCAUUAAGAGCACGAUAUUGGUUCUUACAUAAGAAAGCUCCAAACUUCAAAAAAGUCAUCUGAUUGAAGAUAGUAGCUAGCAGGAGGCCCUUUCAGGAACAGGAAAUGUAACAGCAGCUCCUGCAGGGGCUCAGUCCAGGUAGCGCUGUAAGGAGCAGAAUGAGUGUCCAAACUUAUGCUCUAUGACCUUGAGAGACUGGAAAAAAGGGUGUUGUCCUAAGAAAACAUUUAAUGUUGGGAUUUGUGCAAAACAUUUUUCUUGAACCUACGGACAUUAUUAUACUACAAGAACUAGACCUUUUGCUCAUACUUAUACACCUGCUUAAAACCCUCUUGCAAGAACUCAGGGCUGCGUUUCACUUGGUUAAAUUAUGGACUUUGCUCCAGCCAAAAGACUAAGUUCUAUUUGUUGAUUUCUCUUAGGGUCCAUGAACUUUAUCCAAGCAUCCAUUCUGAACCUGCCUGAUUCCAGGUGGAGGAUUAGGUUUUGCAGUAGCAGAUGUCCUCUGAGACAGACACAUCAGAUGGUUCAAUGCUAUGUUAGGCCAGAAAGCCACAGCUUCUUUAGCUAAAAAGGCAUAAAUAGUAUCACUGCUGCUUCUCCUUCCUAUCUGUUGUAUGGUUCUAGGGAAAUGGAAAACGGGGGGGAGGGAUAGCUCAGUGGUUUGAGCAUUGGCCUGCUAAACCCAGGGUUGUUAGUUCAAUCCUUGAGGGGGCCAUUUGGGAUCUGGGGCAAAAAUUGGGGAUUGGUCCUGCUUUGAGCAAGGGGUUGGAUUAGGUGAUCUCCUGAGGCCUCUUCCAACCCUGAUAUUCUAUGAUUCUAUGAAAAGGUAGGAAGAUAUACAGCACAGACAUUGCCAAGCUUUGAAAGAGGUUGUUCACCACCUCACAUUCUGAAUCUAGUACAUGGAGAGGCCACAAAGCAGGUGACUGCUUUCUAGAUGCAAAAAAUGUCUAUCACCACCACAUUGACUUACACUGAAUGAAAAUAUUUCUGGAUGCACAUUCUAUGCUAAGAUGAGCGGGGGGAAGUGGGGUGGAGAGAAGAACUUCUGACAUGUAAGCCUUGGCAUCCAUCUCCCCCUUGAUGGGCAGUACACAUACAGAGGGGAAACUCUGCUCUGCCCAGGACUAGAGAAAUUGAUUUUCAUUCUUGGAUCAGGUGAUCAUGUUGUUCUUAUUUCAGGAAAACAGCUGUCAAACACACUGAUGGCUAGAACCAAAACAAGUCUGGUAUCUAGAGAAGGAAAGAUGCAAUGAUUCACUGGUUCCUGCAGGUGGUGUGCCUGUAUCUGGAAUCUAUUCCUUGGAUUGAAUUAAGAGAUGAAUGAAUCUCUCCAUUAAACCCAGCUGGCAUCAGAGCUAGGAUCACUCUGCCUAAUUCAAGAAUAGUGGUGCUCUCUUAAAACAAAACCCUGCUUCUGCAUUCAGUUGGCAGAGUAGUGGAUACACAAUGGGACCCUGAUCAAUGUCAAUGGAUGUGAUAAAGAGGUGGAGGGGAUAAUCUGAAUUAUGGGAUAGGUCUCAUAUGACUUCUGGAUCAUUAAAAGCACACAUGGGAUUGAACAGGCAUACACAGCCACAGGCAUUACCACAUGGCUAUGGCUUGGUCUCUUCUGCACUGAUCUACCAUACUGUACACUUUGAAAGUGAGCAGGGGAACGAGUUGCUGAUUUUAUUUAAAGGGAGCAAAACCAGUCCCAGAGAUUGCUUCAAUAGUAUUUCAAGUGGUUAACUAUCUCCCUCUCCUCAAAGUGGUCAGAUUUAUUGUCCCUUCCUCCCCCACAUGAGCCUCUUCUAAAUCCCUGGGCUUUCAAGGCAGGUACUGGUGUCCAGGGGUUUGAGGAUGGACAGCUCAGCUCUACCCCUUCUACUGAAUGAGAUCCAGAUGGGCCUGCAAUAUCAAUAGAGAUCCUUUAAAAAAGCUUGUUGUAGAGAUGGUGGCAGUCGGAAAGAGCUGGAUCCAAUGACUCCUUACUGCCAUCAGCAGUAUCUGUGCUGAGUCCACUAUCCUCCACCAUCUACACUGAGGGGAGUGAGAAGAUGUGACUGAGCUCAACAGUCAAAAAGAGGGUUGGUGGUAUGAACUCCAAGGACUUAACAGCAAUCUUCCAUCUAGCAAGCUGUCCUUCUAGCAUCAAGAUGGGAGUGGGAACUGCUUGCCCCAGUUUUUCCAAUCCUGCCCAGGAGAGGGGGGGGCUAAAGCAACCCUGCUUAGACUGGCUGAGAGAGACAGAGACUGCACCCUGCCCAUAAAGCCAGUCAAGCUCCACAAUGAGACACUAUAAGCAAGUGAAGCAAGAACAGACCCUUCCAUUUGCCUCUGGCUUUUCUCAGCCUUGCUCAGUCUCUGAAAAUGUACCAAACACUGCAAAUGCUUAAGAUGGAGAAAAAACUGAGGGGACAAUCUCCCUAAAAUGCAAAUGAAGCCCUAGAACAGAGACAGGAAUCAGAUAGCCAAUCUGCUGAGCCAAAACAUUAGUCAGAAAUUUUAAACGAAGUUGGGAAUUUUCCCUCAGAAAAUCUCUGCAGCAGGGAGGUCUGGCUGUGCCAUCUGCCACCAUGGGUGCACAUAACGGGCAGAACUUCAGGGAGCAGGGCAUUCGCCAGCUACCAGUGACUGACAGGCCCAGUUCUGCACCCAAGCUGAAAUACAGAUGGUAAUAAAUUGGUAUGAUGAAUAAAGUUCCCUGAAACAAAUGAAGAUAAUCAGUAUAAAAUUUGGCUCAUUCCUCCCAGUCACAAUACAUUUGAACAAAAGGUACAGGUUCCCUAACAGCGGUCCUUUCAGUAAGUGGACAGGCAGGAUGAUUUAGUCAUCAGAGCUGAAUCUUCUCCAAAGGAUAGUUCUAGCAUUCUAAAGUUAAUGCCCACAUUUUAUCUGUUGUGACACCCAGUCAAUUCACAGGUAAUUGGUAUUAGGAAAAAACAGCACAAGCAAAGACAGGACCGAUGUAGUAAAAGCCUUCUGUGCCAUGCCUCCAGCUAAAUUUUAAGAGCUCAACCAUGUUAGGUGUUCAAGAUCCUGUUUGGGCACUCGGGGGAAAAGAUAAAGGGGCAGGGGGGAAAUGGUUUAUGAAUUCCUGCUCACUACAGGCUCUAUGAAACUGUUAAUUAAAAAUCAGAUCCUGAAUUGCUGGAAAUUGAGGCAUAUAAGGAUUACAAAAGUCAAUAGACCCGAUCCAAACCAAUGGAGCAGGAAGGAUGUGUGGGUAAUACAUAUAUAUUUUCUUUUUUCAAAAGUCACUAGGACUGUAAAAUUAUUUAUAAAUUAUUUAAAUAUAUAAUAAGUUUUGCAAAUAAACUGAAUACCAAAGAAAAUUUUUCAGUCCCUGUGGUGACUCCCAACUCCACACAAGGGAAAUGGAAACCUACAGUACAUUGUACACUGGGGAGAAAAGGUAGAAAGUUACAUUUUUGCUACAUGCUCUAAGGGAGUUUGAAUAUUCAACAGUGUCCAAAAAAUCUUGUUUAAAGCAAUGAGACCAAUCUGCAUUUUUAAAGCUAUAGUCACUUCACAUCAUGCCUAUCAGACCAUAUAAUGAAUACAAAUGUCAAAAAUCAAUUUUACACAGCACAGAAUGAAAAUUAAAUUCUCCAGAGCCCCAUUCUGCUUUCAACUGUUAAACUCAAAAUACAUCAUUAAAAAGACACACAAACUAAUGCUAGCACGUGAAAAUAUUUCCUUGAAUAUGUUAGUCUUUAUUCAACUUUUUAGCUAUGACUCUUCCAUUCAGAAGCUGGAGAGAAUCUUUCCAUUAGUUUGUCUCACUGGUUAAUUCUGGAUAAAAAGAUUUUGCAGAAUUUGACAUUAAUUUAAUUUUUCAUUUAUAUUCGGUUAUUCAAAGUUUACAUAACCUUUUCAAAGUUGUACCUUACAAUGUAUGGAACUUAAGAUUAAAAUAAAACUCUACUUUUAACAUAACAUUUUCUAUAAUGUAAAAAUAUUCUACGUAUGUUUAACACAUCAAGAAUGUUAGGCAUUUAUUUUGUUGAGGGAAAACUAUUUUAUGCAUGUUUCAGUAUAAAAAACAACUAAUUGUUUAGUAUCAAUGUGUCCAUUAAAUUGGGUGCCACACAGUGUUUAAUUUCCGCAAUUACAGUAUAAUACUGCAUUUACAAAUACAGAAUAACUAUUCAAACAUACGUAACAGUUUUAAACAACUGCAAAUUUGAGAUGCUGCUUACUUUUUCUCCCAUUGUGGCAACUUUACAUCUUUGAAAGAAUGAGUGCUUAAUUAUCAAAACUAUUAUAAAAAUAGCAGCAUUCUACUAAAACAUGAAAAGCAGACCCAUGCAUUAGGAGUUUGAAUGCAGAUUUCUGCCUUCCUUUUAGAUUAUCAAAAUCUUUUCAAGUUAACUUCAAGGCAAGGGGUAUACAGAAAGACACUGCAUAGUAUGAUUGGACACUAAUCUGAACUGGGUAUUUAAUCAAAAUCCAUGAUAAUUACAGGGUAAACAAUUUUAUUUCAAAAUACAAGUUUAACUGGAAAUGUAAUGAUGAAAGCGUAAGAGGCAAAAAUGCAGACUUUUACAGCAGAUAUUACUCUGUCUCACUUCCAUCCAGAUGUAAGAGCUCUAAUUUGUGAAAAGACAAAAUAGUUGUGGCAUUUCAUUUAGCCUUUAAGAUAAUCCAGCAUUAUGUUUCUAAAGAAAUAUAAAUACUUUAAAACAAACACUGAAAAUAAAUUCUCAUUUGAUGUAAUAAGCUACACUCAUUAUUGAUGUUUCAGUCUUCUUAAAAGAAAGGGAUUUUACCCAAUAUAUCAAUGUAGAAUAAU